GGCUAUACCAUGUUGAAUAUACCGGUUCUCGUUAGAUCACCGAAGUCAAGCAUCAUUGGGCGCGGUCAGUACUUGGGUGGGUGACCACCUGGGAACACCGCGUGC
rnacentral:rRNA from 1 species